CGGACCUGGCGGCGACCGUGCAAACGGGUGAGGAACAUGUACGCAACCUUCCUUUAACUGGAGAAUAGCCCCUCGAAAGAGGGAUUAAUACUCCGUAACAUAAUGAUAAGGCAUCUUAUUAUUAUUAUAGCUUCGGCGGUUAGAGAUGGGCGUGCACCUGAUUAGAUAGUUGGCGGGGUAACGGCCCACCAAGUCUGCGAUCAGUAAUUGGUGUGAGAGCACGACCAGUCACACGGGCACUGAGACACGGGCCCGACUCCUACGGGAGGCAGCAGUAAGGAAUAUGGGUCUAUGGACGCAAGUCUGAACCAGCCACGCCGCGUGGAGGAUUAAGGCCCUCUGGGUUGUAAACUCCUUU
rnacentral:rRNA from 1 species